AAGGGCUCCAUAUGAGAGCCUAGCAAACCUGAUUACCAUAUCACAUCUUUUACUGGUACAGAGGAGCGAGCCCCUGAACUUUCCUACCAACUUGCCCAGAGGAUGGGCACCGUUAGAAGAGGAAAGGAUGUAGUUUAAAAAGCCAUCAUCAAUUGAAACAACAAAAAUGGAGGACUCGGAUUCUGCAGAAAACACAUCCUGAGACACAACCCCAAUUAACUCCGCAUGUUUGUGGUGAUGACUGAGCAAGAAGAGAUCAUGGUCAGAGCAUCUACCAUUUUGAAGCCAGUGCAUGACAGACGGUGUGAAGAAGGCCAUCAAGAUACUCCCAUGGCCUUUGUGCCCCUCAAGAUACUGCUUCUCCUAUGCAUUUUGCUCUGGUGAUGGUGGACCUCAUCAUACACAUGCCGUCAUCAUUCCUAAAUAUAGAACUAAGAAAAUAAGAACUAGGAGGGAUUUCCAGGGGUGUCACAUUCAGCAAGAGUUACUUGUCUCACUCCAGGGCUGGAACUGCCUACCAGGUGAGAUCACUUCCUGUCUACACUCUGCUUCCUCCAUUGUCCUCUCAACACAUGAGCUUGGACACUCAGUCACCUAUCACCAUUGUAAGUCUUUUUUCUUCCAUUUUCACGGGCUCUG
rnacentral:lncRNA from 1 species